GUCAAAUGAUGUUGAAACUGACGUUGAAUCUUCAUGCUUUUCAUUUUUAGAUAUGUGAGGUGUGGCAAUGCAAAUGUUCCCUUUUUCCAUUGCUUUUAAUCUCCCUGCAACUUGAGAACACACCAAUCCAACAACCAGACCUAUACACACAUUUUUACAAUGACUUUAUCCGGGUGUUUAACGUUUCUCAUGCUAUCAGUUUCUGUGGUGCGCAGUCAGACUCUGACUGAGUCUGAA